GCCUAGGUAGCUAGGAGGGUAGAGCUCCUGUCUUGUAAGCGCUAUACCGCAGGUUCGAUUCCCGUCCAGGGCG
rnacentral:tRNA from 1 species